AGAAGAGGAAAAAUGUUGUGCAGGUACCACAAAUGAAUAAUGAAUACAUAUUUCAGCAACAGGAAAAGUGUGACCUAGCAAUGCCUCACGUCGCAUCCAUUUCCUCAGCAUCCUCAUCCAUAGAGAAAAUGAGAAGUGAAAAAUCUGCCCCAGUUGAUAUUGCAUCUGAAUCUGCUCUUUACUCUGGAUGUCCAAGCCAUACUGAAGACUGCCUGAAUACUCAUAAAGGAAUUCUCCCAACAAAGUUCUGCAAAUCAGAUACAAUUGCAACAAAAAAAGCAGAAAUCCUACCAUUUGAAGAUUUGAAAAAUCUUCAAAAAUCUCUCUUCAGGAGUCAGAUAAUGUGUCUGUUGUUUUGAGCUCACCUCAACUUGCAUCACCAAACACAUAUCCAGAGACACCAGCUGAGAAGAGUAAGGAUGUACCUAGAAAUAAUAACCCAGGAAUUGAGGAUCAAGAAAAUGAAGAUGUGAAUUCUGUCUUGUCUUAUCAAUCACAAUGCAGUUCCUUAGAG